AGAAUCAACGCUGGCGGCGUGCCUAACACAUGCAAGUCGAACGAGAAAGUGGAGCAAUCCAUGAGUAAAGUGGCGACCGGGUGAGUAACACGUGACUAACCUACCCUAAAGUGGGGAAUAACUCCGGGAAACCGGGGCUAAUACCGCAUAAAAUCGUCGUUUCUAAAGAAGUGACGAUCAAAGCAGCAAUGCGCUAUGGGAGGGGGUCGCGGCUGAUUAGCUAGUUGGCGGGGUAAUGGCCCACCAAGGCGAAGAUCGGUAUCCGGCCUGAGAGGGCGCACGGACACACUGGAACUGAAACACGGUCCAGACUCCUACGGGAGGCAGCAGUGGGGAAUUUUGCGCAAUGGGGGAAACCCUGACGCAGCAACGCCGCGUGGAGGAUGAAGCCCCGUUGGGUGUAAACUCCUUUCGACCAAGACGAUAAUGACGGUACUGGUGGAAGAAGCACCGGCUAACUCUGCGCCAGCAGCCGC
rnacentral:rRNA from 1 species